rnacentral:rRNA from 1 species
UACGUAGGGCGCAAGCGUUGUCCGGAAUUAUUGGGCGUAAAGAGCUCGUAGGCGGCCUGUUACGUCUGCUGUGAAAUCCCGGGGCUUAACCCCGGGCGUGCAGUGGAUACGGGCAGGCUGGAGGCAGGCAGGGGAGAACGGAAUUCCCGGUGUAGCGGUGAAAUGCGCAGAUAUCGGGAGGAACACCAGUAGCGAAGGCGGCACUCUGGGCCGGAACUGACGCUGAGGAGCGAAAGCGUGGGGAGCGAACAGG